rnacentral:ncRNA from 1 species
AAAUAGUCCCUUCGUACGAAAGGAGUUGGGAAUGUUGACCUAUGGUUUACCUGUUGUUUAAUAUUGUUUUUAACUAAUUUACUAUCACUAAAGUAAAAAUUAUGAAUAUACACUCAAUCAGAAAUGGUUGUUGUAUAGGAUUGCUUAUUAAGCACGGCAGGAAAGCUAAGUCAAUUAUAGAUAAGUGCUGAAAGCAUUUAAGCGCGAAGCUUAU